GACGAACGCUGGCGGCGUGCUUAACACAUGCAAGUCGAACGGAAAGGCCCUGCUUUUGUGGGGUGCUCGAGUGGCGAACGGGUGAGUAACACGUGAGUAACCUGCCCUUGACUUUGGGAUAACUUCAGGAAACUGGGGCUAAUACCGGAUAGGAGCUCCUGCUGCAUGGUGGGGGUUGGAAAGUUUCGGCGGUUGGGGAUGGACUCGCGGCUUAUCAGCUUGUUGGUGGGGUAGUGGCUUACCAAGGCUUUGACGGGUAGCCGGCCUGAGAGGGUGACCGGCCACAUUGGGACUGAGAUACGGACCAGACUCCUACGGGAGGCAGCAGUGGGGAAUCUUGCACAGUGGGAGGAAGCCUGAUGCAGCAACGCCGCGUGCGGGAUGACGGCCUUCGGGUUGUAAACCGCUUUCGCCUGUGACGAAGCGUGAGUGACGGUAAUGGGUAAAGAAGCACCGGCUAACUACGUG
rnacentral:rRNA from 1 species